GAUGAACGCUGGCGGCGUGCCUAAUACAUGCAAGUCGAACGAAACUUCUUUAUCACCGAGUGCUUGCACUCACCGAUAAAGAGUUGAGUGGCGAACGGGUGAGUAACACGUGGGCAACCUGCCCAAAAGAGGGGGAUAACACUUGGAAACAGGUGCUAAUACCGCAUAACCAUAGUUACCGCAUGGUAACUAUGUAAAAGGUGGCUAUACUACCGCUUUUGGAUGGGCCCGCGGCGCAUUAGCUAGUUGGUAGGGUAAAGGCUUACCAAGGCAAUGAUGCGUAGCCGAAUUGAGAGGUUGAUCGGCCACAUUGGGACUGAGACACGGCCCAAACUCCUACGGGAGGCAGCAGUAGGGAAUCUUCCACAAUGGGCGAAAGCCUGAUGGAGCAACGCCGCGUGGGUGAAGAAGGUCUUCGGAUCGUAAAACCCUGUUGUUAGAGAAGAAAGUGCGUGAGAGUAACUGUUCACGUUUCGACGAUAUCUAACCAGAAAGCCACGGCUAACUACGUG
rnacentral:rRNA from 1 species